UACAGAGGGUGCUAGCGUUAAUCGGAUUUACUGGGCGUAAAGCGUGUGUAGGCGGUUCGUUAAGUCGGGUGUGAAAUCCCUGGGCUCAACCCGGGAAUUGCAUUCGAUACUGGCGAGCUAGAGUACGGUAGAGGGCGGCGGAAUUCCGCGUGUAGCAGUGAAAUGCGUAGAGAUGCGGAGGAACACCGAUGGCGAAGGCAGCCCCCUGGGUCGACACUGACGCUCAGGCACGAAAGCGUGGGGAGCAAACAGG
rnacentral:rRNA from 1 species